rnacentral:sRNA from 1 species
GGAGGUAAAAUUAUCCGAUAUCUAAAUUCAGGAUAAGAAAAAAAUGAUUUAUUUACAUACAUUUAGGAAUAUAUCGAGAGAAAUCUUUUAAACUAUUUAGAGAGAAAAAUUACAUAGAAAGGUAUAAUAGAUGGUUCUCCUUGUAUACAAGCAUCAUUAUACAAUUUUUUAAUGCUUGAACAGUCGAUAGACCAGAAUAUUUUCCCUAGGCCAACGGCCGAGGGCAGGAGAUCAUACUGAGGUGGUCCCUGCACCAAGGGAAAAAAUUCGGGUAUAUUGACUGUUCAGGCAUUAAAUAAUUGUUUUAUUACCUAAUUCCGUUUUUAGUAUUUUGUCUUUACAAUCAUAAAUUACAGAAAGUUUUCAUACCAUGAAGAUAAAUUUCAAGAACAAAAGUAAAAUAAACAAAAUAAAGUUAUCUUUUAAUCUUGUAGCAAUUUCACUUUUUCUAAAAUACGUUGCCGGUCCAAUAGUUCGCAGUCAAUUGACCGGCGGUCCAAUAGAUCACAGUCUAUUGACCGGCGGUCUAAUAGAUCGCAGUCUAUUGACCGGCAGUUCAAUAGAUCAAUUUUAAAUCUGAAUACACACACAUAAUAGACGAAAAUAUCUAAUUUGUAAUAAAACAACAAAAAUCCCUUUGGUUAGGUAAUAAAAAAUAUUGUUGAUACUCAAUUGUUUCAACUGUGGCCCCAUUUCAAUUCUUUGGGCCCCACAAGGAGUUUAAUUUUUUGAUGUUGUUUUAUAUGUUUAUAUAAACUACAAUGCUCAAUAUUUGAUAUCUCAUAAUGAUUAUAAAAUCAUCCUGUUACAAAAGAAUAUCUAGAGAAUUUUUUUUAUACUGCGUCUAUUCUACUACAUUGUCUGGAUAUUUUGUAUGACUCCAUAAUGCUGAUAUUUUAAUUGCUAAUGUUGCUCAGAUAAACAGUCGACAAUAGAC